rnacentral:lncRNA from 1 species
GGCAGUAUGAGAAGGGGUUGAUGGAAGCUUACUGACUGGUCAAGGCAGUGCAAGAAGUUUAACCUGUCUGGAAAUAUGGGGACAAGAACUGGAAAGGGCAGUCUGUGCAUGAAGAUUCCAGGAGAAGCCUGAUGAUGGAAAACCUUAAAAUCACAUCGAGUACAGAUGGGGUUUCACCAUGUUCGCCAGGAUGGUCUCGAUCUCCUGACCUCGUGAUCUGUCCACCUCUGCCUCCCAAAGUGCUGAGAUUACAGGUGUGAGCCACCACUCCCAGCCUUUGUCAUCAUUUCAGAUAGGGUGAAGGAAUGGUUUAAGUCGCCUCCAAGGCCAUGGAAGUUGAACCACUUUCAGACUAUGUCCUUGGCUUAUGGGGAGAUUUUUCUAAUCUCAGUUCAUUGGUACUUUCAAAGUUACUUCCGGAUUACAGUGCAUUCACUCCUGUCCUAUGAAGGCUGAAUCAUUCACAUCAGAACAGUCACUUGAUUUUCAGUAGAGAAUCAACAAGCAUUUAUGAUGCAGAUGUUAUUCACAUUGUCCUCAAGUGACCAUCAAACUUGCUUUUAUUCCUUAAUGGAAAAGUGUUAUGAAACAUAGAAAAAAGUUCUUGGCAUGGCAUGAUAUGAGCAAGAAUGC